UACGUAGGCAGCGAGCGUUGUUCGGAGUUACUGGGCGUAAAGGGUGUGUAGGCGGUUGUUUAAGUUUGGUGUGAAAUCUCCCGGCUCAACUGGGAGGGGUCGUGCGAUACGGCGGGGCUCGAGGCCGGUAGAGGCAGAUGGAAUUCCCGGUGUAGCGGUGGAAUGCGUAGAGAUCGGGAAGAACAUCAGUGGCGAAGGCGGUCUGCUGGGCCGUUGCUGACGCUGAGGAGCGAAAGCGUGGGGAGCGAACAGG
rnacentral:rRNA from 1 species